ACUUUCUAAUCUUCAUAAAACAGAUUUUGUGUGAUGGCGCCUUGCCAUAAGCUGUGGAAAAAUCUCAGUUCUUUUUGUAUGUUUUUUAGCCCUCAAAAACUGGUGGCACAGAUGUAAAGACUUCAGUAGCACUCUGCAAGGUGAGUUUUAUGGAGAUUGAAAGUAAAGUUGAUGAUCUGCCAGUGUUCACAUUUGGAAGUGCAAUCAGUCUGUGGACAAAACUUUUGAAAAGCAAACUAUCAUUAAGUCUGAUUCACUCCCUUGAAACUUUUUCUUUAGGAGUGUUUCACUUUUUGUAACAGACUGACAACAAUCUCUUUAAAAAGAUGGAAUGAAACGAACAUUGCCAUUAGCACAUGUCAGGAACAUUUUUACUUCAAUUUUAUUUUGUUGCUUUGAAAAAGUAUGGCUAUUUUAGACCCUUAAUUACCAUUGCCCAGAUCUAGGGCUCGUCCAAACAUACCUUUUACAGCACUACUGCACUGUUUUUUGGGUGACAUUUUUAGUGCAAAAAUGUGCUGUUGCUUAUGCACUUCUGCAGUCACUUACCUGUGGUUGAGACUGUAUUUGAUGCUCUUUCCCUUCCACAUCAGUGAUGGGAUGUGUCCAGAAUGAGGCUCUUUCCAUCACACUUAUCACUUCCCCUUUUCUUCCCACUAGUAAAAUUCCGGUUUUUGAGCAUGCAGAGAGGUCACUGGUCUCAUGUAAACUGCCCGACCUCCUUCUUGUAACAAUGACUUGUAAAGAAAUCUAUUGAAUGACAUCUCAAAAGAAAGAAAUCACAAUUUAAAACAAAAGAAAAUUCAGAGAGCAGAACUCUGCCUUUGAAAUCUCUGUUGGAGAAUACUGAAUUUCAGACCAGCAGCAGAUUGUCCUAGGAGACUGAAAUGUACUUCUACUGAACACUGCUAUUAUACAUUUUCAUAUGCAAUAUAGAGCUGACGAAUGAGAACAAUGAAAAAUACCUAGUUACCAAAAGGCCAAGUUUUAACAUUCAACAUUUCAAUUAAUACUGCUUUAAGAAAAGUAAGCUAGGUGUAAUUGCUCCUUUAAAUUCAUCUCCAUGCCUACCAAAACCACUACUUUAGGAGAAGCAGGUGCCAUUUUGUGUGAUUUAGAACAUGUCUUUGCACCCUCUAUUCUUGGCCUUACAUUAAAAAUACUUUAUCAUUCUACUUUGAAUUUUUUGUUACACCUUUAAAAUCAAACAAAUUUACCCAUUCCACUACAAAAUCUUCCAGAACAGUAUAGGGAACUUUGCUGUGAUGGAUGGGACUACCUUUAAAAAAAAAAAAUUGUAUGCAAGUGUUUCAGGGGAAAACACCAAAACAAUUUCCUCCCUCAUUCUCAAUCAUUUCACCUUGGGUCACUUAUUCUAUACCUGCCACACUCAAUAAGAUCAGGACUUGGGCAAAUGAAAUUUGUGAGUAGUCUAGUAUUGCUCGAGGGGACUGAAUACAUAUGAUUCGAAACAGCAUCAAAUGCUUACCUACUGAGAGCAGAGUUGUCAAGUCAUUUCACAUUGGAAUCAAUAGCAAAAUAAAUGCUUUGAUCAGGACAUGCUCUAUGAGAGCUCUGGGGGCUGCACUUUAUAUGUAAAUUCUGAUGUCUAGUACAGACAGUGGUUAGAGCCAAUAAUUAAAAUGACGAGGAAAGAUUUCAGGAAGGGAAUGUAGGGAAAGUGCUGUAAAGUAAACACAUUUUGAAACUUGACCAAAUGCCAGAUAUAUAAUUCCUAGUAAUUUGUGACCUUUAAAACACAGUUUUUAUUGCUUAAUUUGAUUGCAGGAGGGUGGGUAGGAAGGAAGCCAUAAGAAGCUUUGUGAUAAAAUACAUACUUUUGUGCUGAGUGGUUGCUGCUUCCAGAGCUCCAUUGGCAGAGUAAUCCUAACUAAAGGAAACCAGUAGAAGUUACACUAGCCUAAUUUAAGACAGUGUAUGUUACCCCCUUAUGCUGAAAGCAGUUUGGGAUAGAUGUGAGUCUGCCCCUGCCCUCUCCUGUCCACCACCACACCCUUUCUCGGGAGUUAAGCUGGUCCAACUCCAGCCAGCUUCAACUGAAGUGACUGACCACCAGCUAAACUGGUGUAUUUCCAGCUGAGCCCAGAUUCUUCCAGCUCAGCCAGAGAUCUGCCUAUUUCAGACUUGCUUAUCCUGGAAGAUUUUGGGUUUGUUUUGUCUGUAGGUUUAAAUAGGAAAUAACAUGGGUUAUAUGGGGACUGGGCAUUGUGAGGUGAGCAGUAUAGCAAUUUGUGACAAAAAUAAUUACCGUUUAAAUUUAACAGAAGAAGGCCUCAUUCAGCUCCUGCUUUGGGCUAUUUGGGGGACUAAUGUAACUACGUAUUUUUCCAUUUAACUUGUUUUUGGACUAAUGUAACUUUAUAUUUUUUCAAUGUAACUUGUUUUUAGUGUUUAUUUAUCGUUUUAGUAUGCCUCUUGAGAAGGCUACUGAAAGGAGGGUUUUGGUGAACAUAGGCACUCAUUUCACUGUGGAAUGACAACAUGAGGCGGAUUAUCAGCACAGACCCUCCAAGUGUCCCUAUUUUCCAGGGAUGUCCCUGAUUUAGAAAAGCAGGCCCAGUUUCUGAUUUGAUCCCAUAAUGUCCCACUUUUCCUUUGGAUGUCCCUAGUUUCAUUGAAUAUAUGUUGGAGGGUAUAGAGUUAUCUGACUCCUGAGCUAUCUGAAGGCAAUCCUGUGUAGGGAAGUUUUUUAAUGUUUAAUGUUUUAUUAUGUUUUUAUAUAUGUCGGAAGCUUCCCAGAGUGGCUGGGGCAACCCAGUAAGACAUGUGGGGUAUAAAUAGUAAAAUGAUCAUUAUGGAAUGGGACAUCCCUAUUUUCAUCGGAGAAAUGUUGGAGGGUAUGUCAGCACGAUCACUCCAAUGCAGUGGGGUAAUCCAAGAGAAGGCUAGAGCAUAAGUGCUAUAAAACUAAUUCUGAAGCUGACCAAGCACUUGUUAGAGCACUUACCCAUCUAGUAAGUAGCACUGAAGGGGGUUAAGAAGAUGCUCUUUGCUUCUUGCAUUGCAUCGUCAAUGCAAUGAGCUUUUCUCGGUGGUCCAGAGAUUUAAAAUGGUUGUAUUUCAGGAGUCCUUUGCACUAUGAAUGUUGUUCUAUUUUUUUCUUCUUCCUGAUACUUUAAUCUUUGUUUUCAAUCUUGUACAUUGUAUGUUUUGGGUUGUUGUUGUUUUUUUUACAGUAAGUCACUUUGAGACAAACAGUGAAUCAAUCAAUCAAUUAAUCAAUCAAUCAAAGAAGCAUUUUAGAUCCAUAAAAAUGUUCAAGCUAAAAAUCCACUGCCAGUAAUCUUUGCCAUAUGUAUGGGUAUAGUGAAUGUUUCCUGUCUUCAAGCUUCUAUAACAAUGUACAUUGUUUUGGCUUUUAAAAAGCAGAAAAAAUGGCAAAAGGACAUGCUCAGGGACGGUACAGAACAUCUGUACAAUAUUGUCUUCAAUAAAGAAAUUCAAUUAAAAACUCAACAAUGUUAUGCAUGAGGUUUAUUUCUUGUCUAAUAGAAAUAUGGCAGGUUCAAGUGCUAAGAUCAUCUAUCGCCUAAAGGGGAAAAACACUUGUGAUUUUAGCAUGGCAAGCAGAGUUUAAUAUGAUUGUUUACGGAAAUUGUAAGACAUUAAUUGGAACUUUCUAUAAUAAGGCUGCCGAGAGAAAAAAAGUUUCAUGUUCACAGAUCACUUAUAAGGAGGGCAUGCCUUUUCAGACAUUCUACGCUUCUUUUAUAAAAUUAGUUUCCUGUAGGCUUAGGCAACUGGAUCAUCUAAUUAAAAUUUAACAUGCCAGUUCCUGGCCUGCAUAUGUAUUUGGUAAAAUGAUGCGGUGAUUUUUUAUUUUUUUUAAAGUUUCUAGUUAUCUCUGUAGUCAAGCAAAUCCUAAGCAGAGGUAUUACAUUCAAUAGAACUCUCUACUAAAAAAACCCCCUGUUUCUGUGGAUGUCAUUGCUGAUGUAGCCAAAAUGUCUCCACCCACACACAAGAGUGAGGAAUCAGGAGGUUUGAUGGAACCUCAUAGUACAAAAAUGUUCCCCAAUUGUUGAGUCUAUCGUAUGUGGAAAAGCAGAGAGGGAUAACACGGAAUAGCUAGAAUCUUGAGCACUGUAACAGUUUAUUGCAGGCUCCAUUUGACCUCUAAUGUCCUUUGACAUAAUUCAGCAAGUGUGAUCCAUGAGUUGAACUGAUUUUCCUCCUGUGGACUUUCAGUACAGUCAGCUGUUGCUGGAGGACGGGAUUUGCUAACAAGCAUUACUCUUAAACUAUCUCUAGGGUUAUUUUAGAAAAAAAUGUUAAUCUGUCUUUAUUGCCUUAAAAAAACACAGGAAUGUUGCAUUUAAUGCCCAUGUAUCUACAGAACAAUCUAUAGGCCUUAGAUUUCAACAGGAGCAUUAGAGUACAAUCCAUUGCAUGUAGAGCAAGAUAUAAGUUUCACUGUGUUCAGUGGGUUUUCCUAGAUAAGCAUAGAUAGGCCUGUAGGUUUUAGAACAUUCCUAAAUUUCUCUUGUUUAACUCAAUGGGGCUUUAAAGUGCUUACAUUCGGCUGGAUACUGCCUUAUGUAAAGAAUUAUAGUCGCCUCCCCUUAUUAUCAAGAUGCUGUUUUAUAUGCAAACUGAUUCAGUUCCAUUUUACUUUCGUGGUGCUACUUUUGGGUCUAUAAUUUCUAAACUUUACCAGGCAGGCACUGAAAACUUAUUAGAACAAGGCUAGCUUUAGGUAUGAAUUUCUUUGAUUUAUAGUAUAGCUGUCAAACCAUCAAGGGCACGGGACCAACUGAAAAUGUAGAGCAUGUUCUUAAAAUAACAAACACUACUAGUAUUUUUUACAACUUUGAUCCUUGAUGGGGGUCGAAAGAGAAUUUUAAAUAUAGGCUAACUUGUAACUAACACUCUAAACACACCAAUUAGCAGGGCAAUUCUAUAGGUGUCCAUUCAGAAGUAAGCCCCAUUGAAUGGGACUCAAAGGUCAGUAUAUAUAAGAUUGCUUGGUAAGCCUCUGAUGUUGCUAUCAACAGUGUGCCUAAGAAAGUAUGGGGGGGUUCUUAUUAAGGGGAAGAGCAACUGGAACAAUGGGAUUGGCAGUCCUAGAUAUCUCUGCAUUCAACCUAAAGUAAAAUUUGAAAAGAAUUUGGAUACCCUACUUUAACUGAAACACAGUGAAUUUUUA